rnacentral:ncRNA from 1 species
UUAAAUUCUGUGAAGAGAAAAAGUAGUAUAUAAUUUUGUUCUAAAGAGAGUUGGCAUUUUGGUGAAAGUCAAUGUUCAAAAUAUAUUUGAAAAUCAUCUCUGAGAAGUAAAGCUGAAAAUUUUAGUAAGUUUUACCGGAGUUUUUCACCGUUAAAAGAAAAGCGUAUUAUUUAGUACGUAUUUGAGAGCUAUGAAUAUGUAGUAUAUUAUUAUAUAUAUUUAUUUAUGGAAUUAGGGUGGUAACGCGAUUAUAUCUCGUCCCUUUU